rnacentral:rRNA from 1 species
UACGUAGGCAGCAAGCGUUGUUCGGAAUUACUGGGCGUAAAGAGUGCGUAGGCGGUGCUCUAAGUCUGUCGUGAAAUCUCCCGGCUUAACCGGGAGGGUGCGGCGGAAACUGGAGUGCUUGAGGGUGGGAGAGGUAAGCGGAAUUCCUGGUGUAGCGGUGAAAUGCGUAGAUAUCAGGAGGAACACCUGUGGUGUAGACAGCUUACUGGACCACUUCUGACGCUGAGGCACGAAAGCGUGGGUAGCAAACAGG